CUCAGAACCUUGUGCUUGCAAGACAGGCGGCGGAACCACUGAGCUAAAUCCUCAGCCCCUAAUUUUAUAUACUUAACAAAUAUUUAUGUGCCAGUUAUUACAAGAGUUUGUGGAUAUAAACUCAUUUAACCAUAAGGGUUUGGACCCAGGACCUUUGCACUGAGCUACAUCCCCAGCCCUUCUUAUUUUUCAUUUUGACACAAGGUUUCUCUAAGUUGCCCAGAUGGGAUUUGAACUUGUGGUCCUCCUGCUUUAACCUCCCAGAAUGCUGGGAUUAUAGGCUGAGAAGUCCAAGAGCAUGGCACCAGCAACCAGUGAGGCCCUUCAUGCUGGAUCAUUUCAUGAUGGAAGGUGGAAGGGCAAGAGAAGACAAGCUCAUUUUGGUAUCAAGUCCUCCACUUCAGUAGGAAGUCAGACAAAGACUUUUUCUGAGCUUCUUGACCAGCCUUCAGCAUUCAGAAUUUAUAUAUUAACCAAGUCAGCUGUACGAAACUGUGGAUCAUCUCGAAAAGCUUCUUUGAUGAGUUAACUAAUCUAUUAAAUAGUUUCUUUGUUCCAGACAAAAAGAACCAGGAAACCACCUCUAGAAAGAGACUAUCUGGUAACAAGUCCACUUGGUAUUUAU
rnacentral:lncRNA from 1 species